rnacentral:rRNA from 1 species
AUUGAACGCUGGCGGCAGGCCUAACACAUGCAAGUCGAACGGUAACAGGAAGAAGCUUGCUUCUUUGCUGACGAGUGGCGGACGGGUGAGUAAUGUCUGGGAAACUGCCUGAUGGAGGGGGAUAACUACUGGAAACGGUAGCUAAUACCGCAUAACGUCGCAAGACCAAAGAGGGGGACCUUCGGGCCUCUUGCCAUCGGAUGUGCCCAGAUGGGAUUAGCUAGUAGGUGGGGUAACGGCUCACCUAGGCGACGAUCCCUAGCUGGUCUGAGAGGAUGACCAGCCACACUGGAACUGAGACACGGUCCAGACUCCUACGGGAGGCAGCAGUGGGGAAUAUUGCACAAUGGGCGCAAGCCUGAUGCAGCCAUGCCGCGUGUAUGAAGAAGGCCUUCGGGUUGUAAAGUACUUCCAGCGGGGAGGAAGGGAGUAAAGUUAAUACCUUUGCUCAUUGACGUUACCCGCAGAAGAAGCACCGGCUAACUCCGUGCCAGCAGCCGCCGUAA